UUCUUGUUUAGUGUUUAGCAUGUGUUUAGUGAGCGUUUGGCUGACGUAUGUUUGCAUUGUUCAAAUUUUAUAGGUCAGUCCUGCGUUCUUUAGGUAGGUUGCUACUCUGUUUAUAAUGUUUCUUCUUAGGGCAUUUGGAAUUUCAUAGUUGAGCCCUAAAUUGUGGACAUUCCAUUAGUAUGUGUUCUUCGGUUUCCAUGGUUUCACAGCCCCAUCUGCAUCCCCCGUCUUCUGCCAUGUUUCUUUUAUACAAGCUGUAUUGUAAAUUAUUCAUCCCGGUUCGCAAUCUGUGAAUUGUGCAUGAUGCUUCUCUGUUCUUGUGAAAGCGAUGGUAGUCUAUGUGCGAGGAUUCAAUGUUUGCUGCAAUGAAGGGUUUCAAUGCGCGGCAAGCUUUGGAUUCUUUCUACUCCUGGAUCCGUCAAAGCUUGUUUAGCUAGCUGGUCCACAAAUUCAUUUCCCUUGAUUCCACAGUGACUGGGAAUCCAUAUUAUCUUGGUUUUGCAGCCCGAGUUCUUCAGGCACUUUGUUAGAUUCCAGAUCUCUAGACUUGUUGAGUCCAUGUCCCUAUAAGGGAGAUUGCUUAGGUACUGGACACAUGAUUUCGAGUCAGUGCAUACCACUACCAUGCUUGGAUAAUCUUCUCUUUGGUUGAUUUCAGGGAUGAAAACUGCACAUGUAUAGGUUUCGUCUUUGGCGGAUCCAUCUGUGUAGGCUAUCACUGUUUGUGGAGGAAGCGUAUUUAGCUCUUCCUGUAGCAGCAACCGUGCUUGCAACAAGUUCUCGGUUGCGCCUUUCUUUGUGAUGUCCAGUUCUGUGCAUUCAUAAACCCUUUCGUCCCACGG